CCGGGUUCUCCUCAUCAGCGUCCUGCCGCAGACAGAGCUGCGCUCCGGUAAAAUAGCCUCUCACCAUCGGCACGGUGUACGGAAGAGACACGGUGGGAGGAAAAGAGCUCCGUAAAAUCAAAAAGUCUCUGCGAUUUACCACACGGAGGACGCUCGAUCUGCUGCCCCAGGCCCGGCCGAAGGCCCCAGCUCUCUGGCAACGUCUGUGAAUUCACGUAUGACCUGAAGGUGGCAAGCGACGUACGCGUAACGUGAAACCAGCCUGCAGUCCAGGUCCUGUGUAUGUUAAUGUUCCACCCUCCAUUGGGUUAUAUCAGCGACAAGAAUCGCACAGUAAAUUUGUCGUCAAACCAGGGCCGAAUUUAGGCCACCUACUGACUCCAAUUAUCACCAACCGCCUGCGACAAUUUCUACCUCUGACACAAUGGGAGGAAUAUUUACCUACUGGCUCUGGCAUCACGGGGAGGGCUGAGCUGGGACCGCUGGCGAGGUGCUCUGAAGCUUGGAAAAUGUUACAUCAGUCCCCAGCGUUGCCAACUUCAGAUAUGUCUAACCUAUAAAUAUUUGUUUAGUCUGCCUACAAACUGGCAUUGUAAAAUCAGGCAGAUAAGCUCUUUUUCUGCCCUUCCUUACUAAUGUCGUCAGAGAGAACAUUGCAGGAACUGUUCCGUUACAGUACCACAGCUAUGAGAGAGAGCCAGUAUUACGUCUCUGGGUUUAUUGCUUUGAGAUCUUUGCAACAAUCUGACAAAAAAUCACAGAAAGACAAAUCCUUUCUCCAAAGGUACACAAACUGCCCAUCAGCUACUGACAAACCGUUUGCAUGUUGGUCUUUUUUUGCACUGUGCAGAUUCCUGCUUUGAAUAACACCAAGGUGUAUAAAUCCUCCAUUUCUGUCUGAGACUCUCCUGUAGCAAUUACCUAAAAUAACUUAAAUGCUCCUCUAUAAGCCUGAAGAGCGUGUCAGUCUAGCAAUAAGAUCACUAUAACCGAUUGAUAGCUCUGUUCACUUAGGUGCGUAAUGAACGGGCCAAUACGCUGUAUGUUGUUACAUCCCUUUACGAAUGUGUAUCAUAUUUAUUGCCUCACAAUGUACUAAUGCCAUGUUGCCACUAGUAACUCACUCAGUUAAUGCUGAUUACAUACACUGCUUUAUUAUUUCUUAUUGGAAAUGUCAAACACACCCUCAUUACACUUUUCGGU